GGCGAGGGAAGGAAGAGAAAAUCUUCAGCGAGGGUAGUCGAAAAGAAGAGUCGUGCAGUAGAAAGCCACUCUAGGAGUAGGAGCCCACUAUGCCUGUCUCCCGGAAAACGUGGUCUUUCUCUCGAGGGUCUAGGAGACUUAAGGGACUGGGGCUACGAGCGUAGGCCGGGCGCUCGACCAACUUAUUGACUGCUGGGGCGGGGAUGGGGGGGAGAAACAGGACGGAGCAAAGUGGAGGGAAUUCGAAAUUUGGGCUGAAGAAGUCGAGGGGUACCUACCCCGUUUUCCCCCGCCUUCCUCGAUUAUCCACCGUGUUCCUCGAAACGUGCGACCCGGCGGCCUUGCGACUUUGUUAAGAAUUUUGGCUCCUUCUUAUCCUGCUUCUUCACCCCUCCUCCAAGCCUCCCGGACCUUUGACCACCGAGCGCUCUCUACCCGGGGGAGAAAAAAACUCGGGGAGGGCCUGUCCCCUCCGAAGCGCCGCUUCUCCUAGGACAGGAAGAAGUGACCUAUUACAGUGUCUCCAUUGCUGUUAAAGAAGUUCUCGGAUUCAUACAAUAGUGUAUAGCUAAGAGCUCUUAGUUCCUCUUUUCUUUUUAAAAAAUUUUUGGUUUGAAUAUUCCUUUAAUAUUACUUUUUAAUUAGAAGAAAAGGAAUAAAUAUAUUUAAUAACAAGACAAAUUUUCUAAAUGAGGAGAAACGAAAGACCCUUGUGAAUCGUGGAGAUUUCACCCGGUAUCACCUCUAAAGCAUUCCUAAUGCAAUAUAAUGAUUAAUCUCAGCCCUCAAAUUAUAUUCCACACUUGUUUUAGUUUCCCAUUCUCUGUGCUUACUGUUUUUUUCCUGCAACUUUAAAAAAGAGUUAUGGUAUAUUUAAUCAACUGAACAAUAAAAGUUAAACAGAAACAUCUAAAUAUCAAUAACAAAUAAAAUCCGAGACAUUUCUACUUACCUCUAAAGCUUUCGGGAGUGGAAUACUAUUCAAAAUAAAUUUCCAUUUCUUUUAUAGACCAUCUUUGGUAGAAUGUUAUACAGUUUUUAAUAGAUUCAAGUUACAGAAUGAUGCAGCUAGAACAUUAAAUAGGGAGUAGUGGAAAAUUUACAGUUAUAUAAGUUAAUGCAAAAUUCCACUUAAAGUAAUAGAAAAAUUGGGCUUUGUACCAAAUCAUUUUACAUUAAUUUAGUUCAGUUGUGCCAAUUUAAUGUCAAUUGAUAUUCAAUGAUUUCCUGUCUUAGUAUUAGCUGAAAACUACUGAUUUUCUGCUCCAAACAUCACAUUAUAUAGUAUGUGGUACAAACAGUAUUGCAUCUAUCUUAUAAAUUUACAUUCUUGUCUGAUUGUGU